GACGAACGCUGGCGGCGUGCUUAACACAUGCAAGUCGAACGGAAAGGCCCUGCUUUUGUGGGGUGCUCGAGUGGCGAACGGGUGAGUAACACGUGGGUAACCUGCCCUUGACUUUGGGAUAACUUCAGGAAACUGGGGCUAAUACCGGAUAGGAGCUCCUGCUGCAUGGUGGGGGUUGGAAAGUUUCGGCGGUUGGGGAUCGACUCGCGGCUUAUCAGCUUGUUGGUGGGGUAGUGGCUUACCAAGGCUUUGACGGGUAGCCGGCCUGAGAGGGUGACCGGCCACAUUGGGACUGAGAUACGGCCCAGACUCCUACGGGAGGCAGCAGUGGGGAAUAUUGCACAAUGGGCGGAAGCCUGAUGCAGCAACGCCGCGUGCGGGAUGACGGCCUUCGGGUUGUAAACCGCUUUCGCCUGUGACGAAGCGUGAGUGACGGUAAUGGGUAAAGAAGCACCGGCUAACUACGUG
rnacentral:rRNA from 1 species